rnacentral:rRNA from 1 species
UACGUAGGUCCCGAGCGUUGUCCGGAUUUAUUGGGCGUAAAGCGAGCGCAGGUGGUUUAUUAAGUCUGGUGUAAAAGGCAGUGGCUCAACAAUUGUAUGCAUUGGAAACUGGUAGACUUGAGUGCAGGAGAGGAGAGUGGAAUUCCAUGUGUAGCGGUGAAAUGCGUAGAUAUAUGGAGGAACACCGGUGGCGAAAGCGGCUCUCUGGCCUGUAACUGACACUGAGGCUCGAAAGCGUGGGGAGCAAACAGG